AUGGAGAAAUGCUUGAACUUUGGCAUUCUUGAGUCUCACAAGAGCUGGCAAGCCACACAGUUUGAUCAAUUGGGGCCUCCAGACAAAGCUCUCUUUUCUGUUGCUACAUAUUUGCAAGUGCAGUACUGUUACCUCUUCACGACUCCACUGGACAUUGCCAGGCUUAUCUCGAAGAAGAAGGCUGCUGAUUAUGUUAUUGCGCAGGUUAUGGUAACUUUGAUUGCACGCUUGUUCUUUACGCGUUUAAGGACGAGCAGGGUCGUGAUACUUUCUGGCACUCGAGUGCUCAUAUCCUUGGCGAGUCUUUAGAACAAGCGUAUGGUUGCAAGCUCUGCAUUGGUCCCUGCACGACAAGGGGAGAGGGUUUUUACUAUGAUGCUUUUUACGAAGACGGGAGAACACUCAACGAAGAGAACUUCCCGGCUGUGCAAAGCCAAGUGACGAAAGCCGUUCAGGAGAGUCAGCCGUUUGAACGGAUACAAGUGACACGGCAACAGGCUCUGGAGAUUUUUUCUGAUAACCAGUUCAAAGUAGAAAUAAUCAAUGAUUUACCCGAGGAUGCUGUGAUAACAGUUUACAGAUGCGGUCCACUUGUUGAUUUGUGUCGUGGACCUCAUAUUCCCAACACAUCCUACGUGAAAGCUUUUUCUUGCUUGAAGGCCUCCGCGUGCUAUUGGAAAGGUAAGCAAGAACGGGAAAGCCUUCAACGCGUUUAGGGAAUAUCAUAUCCUGACAAUCAGUCCCUGAAGGCUUAUAUGACCAAGUAUGAAGAAGCCAAGAAACGGGACCAUCGGUUACUUGGGAAAAACCAGCAGCUCUUUUUCUUCCACGAAUUGAGCCCAGGGAGUGCAUUCUUUCUUCCAAAGGGCACCAUUGUGUACAACAAACUGUUGCAAUUUAUCCGUUCAGAAUACAGGAAGCGAGGUUUUGACGAGGUAGUCACUCCGAACAUUUAUAACAUGAAACUUUGGGAACAAUCCGGACAUGCGGCUCAUUAUAAAGAAAACAUGUUCGUCUUCGAGAUAGAAAAGCAAGAAUUUGGUCUGAAGCCCAUGAAUUGUCCCGGCCAUUGUUUACUUUUCCAACACAGGGUCCGUUCAUAUCGAGAGCUGCCUCUGAGAAUAGCUGAUUUUGGGGUUUUACACCGAAACGAAUUAAGUGGUGCACUCACGGGGCUGACACGAGUCAGGCGUUUCUCACAGGAUGAUGCUCAUAUCUUUUGCAUGGAAUCUCAAGUUUAUGAUGAAGUCAAGGGAUGUCUGGACUUUCUCGAUUACGUGUACACCAUUUUCGGCUUUACUUAUGAUCUCAAAUUGUCCACGCGGCCAGAAAACUUUCUUGGCGAGAGCUCCUUGUGGGAUCGGGCGGAAGGGGCAUUGGCGGACGCUCUGAAUGCGCAUGCAAAGCCCUGGCAGAUGAACGAAGGAGAUGGUGCUUUUUACGGGCCUAAGAUUGACAUCCAAGUAUCUGAUGCACUCAACAGAAAGUUCCAGUGCGCAACAAUUCAGCUUGACUUCCAAUCACCGAUUCGGUUCAAGCUGAGCUACUCGGCCGAAGACGAAGCAAAGAUCGAGCGGCCUGUCAUCAUACACCGGGCGAUAUUGGGGUCCAUUGAACGGAUGUUCGCAAUACUGUUGGAAGACAAUGCUGGAAAAUGGCCCUUCUGGCUCAGCCCGCGCCAAGCUAUCGUUCUCACAAUCUCGGAGAAGUUUAAAGACUACGCCGAGGAGGUUCGUGCCAAACUUCACGCUGCUGGUUUCGAGGUAGACGUCGAUGUCUCGGACAGAAAGGUGGACAAGAAGGUCCGAGAAGCUCAAAUGGCACACUACAACUAUCUCUUGGUGGUGGGCGCUAUGGAGCAAGAGAAAGGAGAAGUGAACGUUCGCACGAGAGGCAGCAAAGGCCAGCGCGGUUGCAUCACGAUCGAGAAAUUAAUUGCCGAGUUCCAGGACUUGGUAGCAAACUACACACGAUGAGAGAACUAAGAAAAGGCCAACCUUUUACAUUACCCUCGUUGGAUUGGAUACAAUCGGCUAUGGAGUUUUGGAAACACCAUCACCAGAGAUGAAGACAAGUUCUAUAGGUUCAUGUGAGUCUCUUCUACCUCAGUCUCUUCCAAGAGGACUUUGCUCCAAGCGACACGAUGCUGGCCAUUGAUUCACUUGAUUGUUUCCUGGAGCGUCUGCGUAGAUCCUCUUCGUGAACUGAUCCACUUUGAUGAAGUCCGCGAGGAGAGUUUUCUGGCCAGCUGAUUUGCGGGAGGGAUCCUUGAUGACGGGGAAUGUGAGCGAAUCUGUGGAUUGGCUUCCCAGGCUAUCCAGUGCCUAGGUGGGAAUGGCUGUGUAAACGAGUAUCCCACUGGAAGGCUGCUAAGGGAUGCAAAACUAUAUGAAAUUGGAGCUGGAACAAGUGAAAUAAGGAGAAUGUUAAUUGGAAGGCAACUCUACAAAGAUGAAUAAAUCAAAAUCAAAUGCCUUUUACCUUUA